GUAACUAUAACGGUCCUAAGGUAGCGAAAUUCCUUGUCGGGUAAGUUCCGACCUGCACGAAUGGCGUAACGAUGGCCACACUGUCUCCACCCGAGACUCAGCGAAGUUGAAAUGUUUGUGAAGAUGCAAUCUCCCCGCGGCUAGACGGAAAGACCCCAUGAACCUUUACUGUAGCUUUGCAUUGGACUUUGACGGGACUUGUGUAGGAUAGGUGGGAGGCUUUGAAACCAGGACGCUAGUUCUGGUGGAGCCGUCCUUGAAAUACCACCCUGGUGUCGUUGAGGUUCUAACCUAGGCCCGUGAAUCCGGGCCGGGGACCGUGCAUGGUAGGCAGUUUGACUGGGGCGGUCUCCUCCCAAAAGGUAACGGAGGAGCACGAAGGUGCGCUUAGUGCGGUCGGACAUCGCACUGAAUCUGCAAUGGGAAAAGCGUGCUUAACUGCGAGACUGACAAGUCGAGCAGAUGCGAAAGCAGGUCAUAGUGAUCCGGUGGUUCUGUAUGGAAAGGCCAUCGCUCAACGGAUAAAAGGUACUCUGGGGAUAACAGGCUGAUUCCGCCCAAGAGUUCACAUCGACGGCGGAGUUUGGCACCUCGAUGUCGGCUCAUCACAUCCUGGGGCUGUAGCCGGUCCCAAGGGUAUGGCUGUUCGCCAUUUAAAGUGGUACGUGAGCUGGGUUUAAAACGUCGUGAGACAGUUUGGUCCCUAUCUGCCGUGGGCGCUGGAAGUUUGAGGGGGCCUGCUCCUAGUACGAGAGGACCGGAGUGGACGAACCUCUGGUGUACCGGUUGUCACGCCAGUGGCAUCGCCGGGUAGCUAUGUUCGGAAGAGAUAAACGCUGAAAGCAUCUAAGCGUGAAACUCGCCUCAAGAUGAGACUUCCCUGGGAACUUGAUUCCCCUGAAGGGUCGUUGAAGACCACAACGUUGAUAGGCUGGGUGUGGAAGCGCAGUAAUGCGUGUAGCUAACCAGUACUAAUUGCCCGUGAGGCUUGAUCCUAUAAUUCUG
rnacentral:rRNA from 1 species